AUUGAACGCUGGCGGCAGGCCUGACACAUGCAAGUCGAGCGGAUGAAGGGAGCUUGCUCCUGGAUUCAGCGGCGGACGGGUGAGUAAUGCCUAGGAAUCUGCCUGGUAGUGGGGGAUAACGUCCGGAAACGGGCGCUAAUACCGCAUACGACCUGAGGGAGAAAGUGGGGGAUCUUCGGACCUCACGCUAUCAGAUGAGCCUAGGUCGGAUUAGCUAGUUGGUGGGGUAAAGGCCUACCAAGGCGACGAUCCGUAACUGGUCUGAGAGGAUGAUCAGUCACACUGGAACUGAGACACGGUCCAGACUCCUACGGGAGGCAGCAGUGGGGAAUAUUGGACAAUGGGCGAAAGCCUGAUCCAGCCAUGCCGCGUGUGUGAAGAAGGUCUUCGGAUUGUAAAGCACUUUAAGUUGGGAGGAAGGGCAGUAAGUUAAUACCUUGCUGUUUUGACGUUACCAACAGAAUAAGCACCGGCUAACUUCGUG
rnacentral:rRNA from 1 species